rnacentral:rRNA from 1 species
UGGGGAAUAUUGGACAAUGGGGGCAACCCUGAUCCAGCCAUGCCGCGUGAGUGAAGAAGGCCUUAGGGUUGUAAAGCUCUUUCACCCGUGACGAUGAUGACGGUAGCGGGAGAAGAAGCCCCGGCUAAUUCCGUGCCAGCAGCCGCGGUAAUACGGAAGGGGCUAGCGUUGUUCGGAAUUACUGGGCGUAAAGCGCGCGUAGGCGGCCAUGCAAGUGAGGCGUGAAAGGCCUGGGCUCAACCUGGGAACUGCGCUUCAGACUGCACGGCUUGAGUCCGGGAGAGGGUGGUGGAAUUCCCAGUGUAGAGGUGAAAUUCGUAGAUAUUGGGAGGAACACCAGUGGCGAAGGCGGCCACCUGGCCCGGUACUGACGCUCAAGUGCGAAAGCGUGGGGAGCAAACA